AAUAUUGCGCAAUGGGCGAAAGCCUGACGCAGCAACGCCGCGUGGGUGAUGAAGGCCUUCGGGUUGUAAAGCCCUGUCGCCUGGGACGAACAAGCUCGUGAAGAACGAGCUCUGACGGUACCAGGAGAGGAAGCACCGGCUAACUCUGUGCCAGCAGCCGCGGUAAUACAGAGGGUGCUAGCGUUGUUCGGAAUUAUUGGGCGUAAAGGGCGCGUAGGCGGCCUCGCAUGUCGAAUGUGAAAGCCCACCUCUUAAAGGUGGAAUUGCAUUCGAAACUGCAAGGCUGGAGUGCCGGAGAGGGUGGUGGAAUUCCUGGUGUAGAGGUGAAAUUCGUAGAUAUCAGGAGGAACACCGGUGGCGAAGGCGGCCACCUGGACGGUAACUGGCGCUGAGGCGCGAAAGCGUGGGGAGCAAAC
rnacentral:rRNA from 1 species